UACGAAGGGGGCUAGCGUUGUUCGGAUUUACUGGGCGUAAAGCGCGUGUAGGCGGAUUUGUAAGUUGGGGGUGAAAUCCCGAGGCUCAACCUCGGAACUGCCUCCAAAACUACAAGUCUGGAGCGAGAUAGAGGCAAGUGGAAUUCCGAGUGUAGAGGUGAAAUUCGUAGAUAUUCGGAGGAACACCAGUGGCGAAGGCGACUUGCUGGAUCUCUGCUGACGCUGAGACGCGAAAGCGUGGGGAGCAAACAGG
rnacentral:rRNA from 1 species